UACGUAGGGGGCGAGCGUUGUCCGGAUUUAUUGGGCGUAAAGCGCGCGUAGGCGGCGCGGUAUGUCGUGCGUGAAAUCUCCCGGCUUAACUGGGAGGGGCCGUGCGAAACUGCCGGGCUUGAGGUCAGAAGGGGAAAGUGGAAUUCCGGGUGUAGUGGUGGAAUACGUAGAUAUCCGGAGGAACACCAGCGGCGAAGGCGGCUUUCUGGUCUGAUACUGACGCUGAGGCGCGAAAGCGUGGGGAGCGGUCCGG
rnacentral:rRNA from 1 species